CAGAAACAACAUCGACUGCUAUAAUGACUGUAGAUGGAACUAGCACUCUUGGAGAGGAUGCCAUCAGCCUUGGAUGCCACCGUGAAAAGAUGCACGCUGAGUGCCAUAAAAAACACCUAAAUCUGUCUAUUCUACAAGACAUAAUGGCCCGAACUAGGGUAGAGAGAACAGUAUACUUAGAAAACCAUUCGACAAUGGAGACCCUUGACGAGUACCCUGCACUGCGAUUUCCAGUAAUACUUCUUGCAGAAACAAACCACCAGCUUGAUGUUGACGUUGAUCGCAGCAUUAUGUCAGGAAUGGGAAUUGUAGCAAGAAAAAUUAUAGAAGAAUGCCAACGA